UGGAAAGCACCUCUCAGGACCAUUUCAAGAAAAACAAACUGUGAGGUUUGCUUCGGAUCUACUUCAUGUGAAUCAUCAGCGCUCGCUCCAACAGCAGACCAGAGGCCCGUCAGAGCUUUAGGACAAGACUGGGGCGUCUGCGAGGGUACGUGGCUUGAGCAAGGCUCCUGCACUCCCGUUGCCCCACACACCCCCUCGUUCGCUGGCCCCCUGCCCAGGCCUCUGCCCAGAUGGACGCAGAACUGCACAGUCAGCAGACAAGAACUUUCAAGGCGUAUUGUUGUAAGGCUUACCACGUUGGCAAAUUCAACAGGAACAUUUUGAACUCAGACGGUUCCUUUCACCCAGAAAUCCCACACCGUUUGGUUCCCCACCAACGCUGCGUGCAAAGCCUCUUGCUAGCCCUCCGGGGCUCCAUCAGCCUGCAGCAGCCGGCCGUGGAACGAUGCUGCACGACUCCUAGUCCGGAACUCUCCACCAGCCCUCCUGCGCAUCCUGGGAACACUGGCUGUUGACACACGAAAUACUGAGGCAACCUUGUUGAUGCUCUUGGCCCUCUACUUGGGUGAAUGUGCCUUUUCAAAAUCAAGAUGUGCUGGGGGGGGGGGCGGUUCUUAAUAAAAAAAUAUAUGAAAAUAUCCCCACACAGAAAGGAAUAGUGAGAGUGACCAUAUAAAAACAAUUUCAGCUGAAAAAAAUAACACGGUUUCCCACCAAGUCCCAAAGAGAACCUAGGUUUCCAUGGGAUGUUCAGGAGGUGUAGAACUUCUAGCCGUGGGUGGGAUGGGACGCUUGCUGCCUGUCCAAAUAAGCAAACAUCCUCCCUGAACCCAUAUCCGUGCCCCACAUGCCGUGGUUCCCAUUUGCUUCCUGUUUUCGGCCCUCCCAAAAAUACAGCUCACAGGCGUUUUAUUUUCAUCUCCUCACCUUGAAAAGCACAGAUCUGCCAGAGUGUGUCUGUCUUCGCAGGGAAACAAACCCAGCAGGCAUUCAAGACACUCAGGCGAGAAGAAAUGCAUCCCAUCGGAAAAUUUCCAUCGCCAGCAUUUUUUUGUUUUUAAUUUCCAAGAUAAAUGGGGUUUUACUUAUAAGAAGACCAAGGGCUCCAUUAUCUUUCAAACACUGUGCUGCUUCCAAGGAGCCGAGAAAAUUGGUCAUGCACCUGGCCAGCUGAUCCAGCCUCAAAAAAUCUUCCGACCUUAAUGAAAAGGGCCUAAUUUUUCCUCCCCUUUAAUAAAUGUUUCUUUGCUUCUUCCCAGCGAUAUUCAGCAUGUGGGGCGGGCAGGCAGAAUGCCCAGUUCGUGCAAAUGGGCAGGCACACCUGAUUCACCAGGAUUCUUCCCACUGCCUCUAAUCCAGGGGACCCUGCUCCAGAGGGCUUGGGAAGGGGAGCAGAUAACUCCGCCCCCCAUCUCCAGAGGGCCAAAGAACCAGUACAUUCCGAUGUGGAUUUGAAGGUUUACCUGUGCGUGUGCGCAUGGGUGUGUUAGCAGACCAAAUUCUUAGAGGCCGCUUGAAGGUGUCAUAAAAGAUAAUUCAGGUGGAAAACUCCCUGGAAAAAAAAUUCCCCUGCUCUCCAGAUGCCUGCGUCCUGACCUCCAGAACCUGGGAGAGAGUAGCAAGGAUUUGGAUUGGGGCCUACGGGCAGAAUUUGCAGGUCUGUUUCCCAAAGAAUAAAUCGCAGCCCCUCAGGCUGGAACAGGCAGGUGCUGUGAAAUCUGGCUGACGGGUCCACUUCAAGGUGAUCUGCCUGCCAUGUCUUCUCUCUGUUCAGCUAAUCUCCCGGCAGCCCCUUGGUGCCUGGUAAAGUAAAUCAUUCUGACUACGUGUAUGAAACGGGAGGCUCUUUGCACACCUGUAAUUACUACCUGACAAGUCUCUGCGGAACCUGGGAGUUUCCCAGAGGGCCAGAGGGGCCACUUCUGGAGGGGGUAAGUCAAGGUGGGUCCUCCAGGCAACAUCUGGCGAGAGGAACCAGAAUUCAAGCCUACAGAACUGGGUUUUUACAGUUUUUUACAGGUCCUUACAGAACUUCUGUUUUAUUGCAUGGCUGAGAGACUCAGAGUCAAAGUCCGCAGGCUCCUAAGCCGUGAUAAACCCAGCCGAGAUGGUCACCUAUACCUGUAAACGUCUCAAAAUAAAUAAUGCAUAAUUCCCUUAAAGCAGCACCGUCCCACAGAAAUAUAACGUAAGCCACGUUAAGUCAUUUAAAUUUUCCAGAAUGGACGUUAAAAAAAAAAAAAAGGAACAAGUAAGAUGAAUUUUAUUUUUUUAUUUAUUAUUUUUUCUUUUUUUUUCAACGUUUUUUAUUUAUUUUUGGGACAGAGAGAGACAGAGCAUGAAUGGGGGAGGGGCAGAGAGAGGGGGAGACACAGAAUCGGAAACAGGCUCCAGGCUCCGAGCCAUCAGCCCAGAGCCCGACGCGGGGCUCGAACCCACGGACCGCGAGAUCAUGACCUGGCUGAAGUCGGACGCUUAACCGACUGCGCCACCCAGGCGCCCCUAAUUUUAAAUGAUGUAGCUCAAUUGACAAAAAAUCUUAUCGUUCUCAUCAAUAAAUAUAAAAAACUAUUUGCUAUAAAUAUCAAAACUGGGGCGCCUGGGUGGCUCAGUCGGUUAAGCAUCCGACUCUUGGUUUCGGCUCAGGUCAUGAUCUUGCAGUUGGUGAGUUUGAACCCCGUAUCAGGCUCCACGCUGAGAGUGUGGAGCCUGCUUGGGAUUCUCUUUCCCUCUCUCCACCCCUCCCCUGCUUAUGCUCUCUCUCUCUCUCAAAAAUAAAUAAAUCAACUUUAAAAAAUAUAUAAAAAUCAUCAGUGAGAUAUUUCACAUUCUUUUGUCCCACAUUCCAGGCUUGGAAAUCCGAGAACAUGUUAUAUUUAUGUCACAUCCGAGUUUGGACUAGCCACAUUUCAAGUCCCAAUAGCCACAAGGGACACAGGUACUGCGUUAGACAGUAGUCUCAGAAGGUGACAUUUCUACCUCGCAUUUCGACUUCCCACAAACACUUCAUAUACAACAAAAGAAACUGCGAUACACGACAUUUUAUUUGACUUAGAGUCCUAGCGCUCUUAAUAACAUGAGAAUUUCUAAAAGUUUCUUUUGACUAGCACUAAGUAGGUCUGAAGCCCAGACUUGGCCGGCACUUGUCUUUCAAAUAUUGAUAACUGCAAGCAAGUGCACAUGACUUAGACUCAUCGUUUGGGGCCUCUGGCAAUAGAGAAAGAAAGAAAACCAGAUUCCCACCGCUCUACCCCUUAGGGCCGUUCACCCACGUUCAGCCGAGCACAUAGGUGCUGUCUGCCUGGGGACGUUGGGCACAAAGACUGCUCUCAAGGAAGGCACCGCUCGAGUGACAUCCAAGCAGUGGGAGAAGGCCUAAGGGUGCAUGCGCCCGAGCGGCGAUGGCCAGCAGGUGCUUCCCCUGGGAGUCUGCCGGAUGGGAGACUCUCGG